AGUAGUUCUACGUUAUGUGUGUCAGAUGCCUUGCACUCUUUUUCCUUUUUUGUUGUUUGCGUCGAAGAACUCGCAGUCACGUUGUGCCAAGACAAGGAAAGCAGCGCUAGCUCGUGAGAAAAGGCAGAGGAUUCGAGCGGCGAAAGUUUCAACGUAGAAAAGCCCCUUCUUGACAAUCCACUAAGACAUGGAGCAUGGUCAACUUCUACCACAGGUUGGAGAUGCAGAACCAGCAGCAAGUAACGCAUUUCUCGGCUCAAAGAGGUUGGCAUCAAAGAGUUUUUCUGCCAGCAGGGAGACACUCUUGAGGGUAAAUGCCAUCGCGAUGACAGACAUUCUCCUGCCGUCCUGGGCAACGAGCCGUUCAUUUGCCAACCGCAGCUCCAUCAGUUCUUGGCCAGCAGCCUCCAUGACCUCUCUUUGGUGAGUGAAUGUUGAUGGCCGCAGAGGAGCCUUGAAACCAGCAGCAACAGGAUU
rnacentral:lncRNA from 1 species